rnacentral:rRNA from 1 species
AUUGAACGCUGGCGGCAUGCCUUACACAUGCAAGUCGAACGGUAACAGGUCUUCGGAUGCUGACGAGUGGCGAACGGGUGAGUAAUACAUCGGAACGUGCCCGAGAGUGGGGGAUAACGAGGCGAAAGCUUUGCUAAUACCGCAUACGAUCUCAGGAUGAAAGCAGGGGACCGCAAGGCCUUGCGCUCACGGAGCGGCCGAUGGCAGAUUAGGUAGUUGGUGGGAUAAAAGCUUACCAAGCCGACGAUCUGUAGCUGGUCUGAGAGGAGGACCAGACACACUGGGACUGAGACACGGCCCAGAGUCCUACGGGAGGCAGCAGUGGGGAAUUUUGGACAAUGGGCGCAAGCCUGAUCCAGCCAUGCCGCGAGCAGGAUGAAGGCCUUCGGGUUGUAAACUGCUUUUGUACGGAACGAAAAGACUCUGGUUAAUACCUGGGGUCCAUGACGGUACCGUAAGAAUAAGCACCGUCUAACUACGUGCCAGCAGCCGCCGUAACAC